UGCGCACCUCGGCAUACCAGGGCGACCGGAUCACAUCGUGUAAGCCACUGACCACCAAGGGCCAAAGCAGGACGACCAUGUCAGGGGCCCCGGGCUCCUUGGGUUGACCCAUGACUGUACCAGCGCGAACAGAGAUUCUACAGAUUUGACAGGACAGAGUCAGUCAGCAGGUCCUGUCCAGGUGAAGACACCAGCUCUGAAAUCACACAGAGUGUAAAACCCUGCAGGAUCAUCACAGUCCCUGGUGUACUUUAUCUACAUUACAUGUGUGUCCACCCCACUGGAGAAGGCAAGUAGCAGAUUUUCAAAAUAACUGCUGCAAAAUAUGGUGUUACAGACAGGUAAAUAUAUCACCCUGAUGGAUCUAUAAUAUCAGACUUCGCUCUGAUCGGUUAUCUUGUGUUCAAAAUCUUGUGUUCAGCAAACUUCUUGUUUUCCAUUCAGAAUAUUGAAGUUUGAACAUAUUCGCACACAUCCCCUCAUCUAACACCUGCUUUGCUUUUCUCUCAUUUCCCCUCCUCUGUUUCUCUAUAUAGUCAUUUUGACUUCCAUUUUUUUUAAAUUAUUGGAAGGAUCUCUCGAACAGCUGGAUGCCAGUGAUCUCAAACAUAAGGCCAUUGAUGAUCUUUGAUGAUCCUCAUCUGACCUGCAGUCUUCAUCGCUUUAGACUCACAUUUUGUCUUACCUUUCUUGGUUGACUUGUUGACCUGUUCUUCGGAGGUCGGCCCUUUUAUUCACAACAAUGUGUGUCCACAUGUACAGCGCAGGGCUGGAGCAUUUGCAGGAUUUCUGUUGUUGUUGUGUUGGCUCUUGUUACGUAUACACUGAAGCUAUGAUAAUGAUAAGACUCAUCACUUUGCUGGUCUUACUGAAUGGCAAAACACCAGUGCAUUGUGGGUUUUUUUUUCCACCACUAUCAUAAUAACACAAAGUUUUGUCUUUCUUUAGGAAACAAUUUAACAGCAACAGCAACAAUAAUAAUAAUGAUAUAAUUUAAUCAAUUAAAAUGUAAGCACUUGUGAUUGAAAAUUGCACACUGACUUGCCUUAAAGGACCAUUCCAGCGUUUGCAAGUUUAACUCUUUGUAUAUCAUGUACACAUUAUAUAUUUGCUGACCAUUCAUUCAUUCAAUUUGCACUUUUAUUUUAUUGUGAAUAUAUCAUUUCAAAUUCAAUACAGAGCCAGCUCAACUGUUACUCUUAUGCAACCCACCAAUUCUACUUCCUCUAAUCUGUCAGUCAUGUUAAAAAAUGUUAUCAGUUAGGAGCCUAUCAGGAGCCUGAUCUCAUUUUAUAUGCAGUGUCAUUAGUGACAUCAAGUCACAGCACACAGACAGACAGACAUACAGACGGAUGGAUAGAUAAUUUCACUGAUUCUGAUUCUGUCAUUUUGCACUACCCUG